UACGUAGGGGGCAAGCGUUGUCCGGAUUUAUUGGGCGUAAAGAGCGUGUAGGCGGCUGGGUAGGUCCGUUGUGAAAACUCGAGGCUCAACCUCGAGACGCCGAUGGAAACCCUCCAGCUAGAGUCCGGAAGAGGAGAGUGGAAUUCCUGGUGUAGCGGUGAAAUGCGCAGAUAUCAGGAAGAACACCCGUGGCUAAGGCGGCUCUCUAGUACGGUACUGACGCUGAGACGCGAAAGCGUGGGGGAGCGAACAGG
rnacentral:rRNA from 1 species